rnacentral:rRNA from 1 species
GAUGAACGCUGGCGGCGUGCCUAAUACAUGCAAGUCGAGCGAACGGACGGGAAGCUUGCUUCUCUGAUGUUAGCGGCGGACGGGUGAGUAACACGUGGAUAACCUACCUAUAAGACUGGGAUAACUUCGGGAAACCGGAGCUAAUACCGGAUAAUAUUUUGAACCGCAUGGUUCAAAAGUGAAAGACGGUCUUGCUGUCACUUAUAGAUGGAUCCGCGCUGCAUUAGCUAGUUGGUAAGGUAACGGCUUACCAAGGCAACGAUGCAUAGCCGACCUGAGAGGGUGAUCGGCCACACUGGAACUGAGACACGGUCCAGACUCCUACGGGAGGCAGCAGUAGGGAAUCUUCCGCAAUGGGCGAAAGCCUGACGGAGCAACGCCGCGUGAGUGAUGAAGGUCUUCGGAUCGUAAAACUCUGUUAUUAGGGAAGAACAUAUGUGUAAGCAACUGUGCACAUCUUGACGGUACCUAAUCAGAAAGCCACGGCUAACUACGUG